rnacentral:rRNA from 1 species
UAAUACGAAGGGUGCAAGCGUUAUCCGGAUUCAUUGGGUUUAAAGGGUGCGUAGGCGGGGCCAUAAGUCAGUGGUGAAAUCUUGCGGCUUAACCGUAAAAUUGCCAUUGAUACUGUGGUUCUUGAGUAUGCUCGACGUAGGCGGAAUGUGCCGUGUAGCGGUGAAAUGCUUAGAUAUGGCACAGAACACCGAUAGUGAAGACAGCUUACGAGGGCAAAACUGACGCUGAGGCACGAAAGCGUGGGGAUCGAACAGGAUUAGAUACCCUGGUAGUCCACGCCGUAAACGAUGAUCACUCGUGAUUGGCGACAUACGGUCAGUCACCUAGCGAAAGCGUUAAGUGAUCCACCUGGGGAGUACGAUCGCAAGAUUG